AGAUAAAAUCGUGGUCAGUAAUUAAGGUUCCUAAACAACCAGACAACUUUCAAUGUGGUUUCUAUGUAAUGAAAUACAUGAAGGAAAUAGUUGAGUGUGAUGGUUCUCAGACGAUUGGCUCGUUGCAUUCAUUGUUCGAUAAACCAAGUUACUCCAAAGAGGACAUUGAUGACGUGCGUAAAGAAUGGGCGGACUGUGUACAAGAUCAUAUACUUGAGUAAAGAGGUAUGACGUUGCUAGUUUGGAUGCAAAGUGGAAAAAUGUCAUAUACACUUGAAAGUUUUCGUUGACGCUUAGUGAAGAACAUUGCUUAGUUGCAUAUUUUGGUUGGUAGAAUUAUGUUUAAAAUACAAUGCAAAAAAUUCUAGUCCAUUGAACUAAU